AUGCAGGAAGUCGAGCAGCAGGAAGACAGGCUUAGUAAGCUGCCGGAUGACAUUCUUGUGUCCGUUCUAGAUCGUCUCGACGUGCGAGGCGCCGCAAGAAGCAGCAUCUUAAGCAAACGGUGGAGGCAUCUCCCUCUCUCGAUCAGUCGCAUCACCUUAGACGUUAAGCGCCACAAGCUUAAAGACGACGGCUCCAAGUCCGCUCUAUCCAAGAAGGCUCAGACCAACCUGUCCGUGGCAGAAGCAGCAAGGAGCCUGUUGGCACGCAGGGACCAGCAGCAGGCCGCCGCGUCCUCUACCUGCGAUUCUACCUGA
rnacentral:rRNA from 1 species